GUGCUCGCUUCGGCAAGCACAUAUACUAAAACUGGAACGAUACAGAGAAGAUUAGCAUGGCCCCUGCACAGGAAGACCCACAAAUUCAUGAAGUGUUCCAUACUUUG
ensembl:snRNA U6 U6 spliceosomal RNA